UGUAGAUAGGAGGAAGUUGCAAGAGCAUAGACUUAGAAUAAAAUAUAGACUACACUAUUUACAUUUAAGCGCGGUCCAAUAUUAAUUUUUGUAAACAUGUUUACUCCUGGGUGCAGCUGACCUCGGCCGUCUGAGUCUUUCGCCUCCAGCCUAUGUUGUCACGUCUAAAAUAUUAUUAAUAUUUUUUUUGUUGUUAUACACAUAUAUUGAGAUAUUAAAACUGUAUUUUAAUAAAGUAGUGUUUAAUAGUAGAAAGAUGUAUUAAAUAGUCCCUAUACUACUAAAUUAUAAGUCGGAGACUAUUUAAAAAUGACAAAUUCUUUACAAUUUGGCAACACCCAUCAAUCGCCGGGUCGCCUGUUCAUUCUUUAUUCUCUCGUAGUAGAGCCAUAGUAGAGUAAAGCACGUGUCGUAAAACCUUGUUGUCACAGUUUCGCCAUGGCUAUUUUAUUGUUUUUAUUGGAUGUUUUGAUUUUGUAUUUUUUUGGAUUCGAUUUUCUUAGUGUGUAGUGUCGGUUUAGUGUUUAUUUUGAUUACUUUUUAUUUAAAAACAUGGUUCGUCAGUGCCAAAUUUGUAAGAAAUUGGACUAUUUAAGUCCUGGAACAACAUUCCACAGAUUAUGCUGCCAAAGUUUCCUGAAUACAAUUCCGACCACUCUGUAUAUCAAGAUAUCCCCCAUUACGUACUAGUUUUUCUUAAUAAUUUUCUAUACAUUUUCCAACGCCAAGAUGUACCAAGCGCAUACAAAUACAUCAAGCUUCAAACAAGCUUGCACGUUGACAGUAAUACCUACAGUAAUAUUGUAUUAUAUUAAUGUAAUAUUUUUGAACCAAUGUUCAAUAUUACUGUAGUAAUACUGUUUAUACUCAUGCCUUUUAUAUUUGUUUGAAUUUGGUGCAUAUUUCCAUUGAAUAAAGUAUAGUCACCAUUACCAUUAUUAUACUUACUCUAUAAUAAAGACAGUAACGAGUUAAA
rnacentral:lncRNA from 1 species